GGAUGGAAGUGGAAGCUGGAGUCCGGCACGGAACGCCUCCUGAUACAGGCAAAAAUGAUCGGGCGGGGGAGUGCUGGCCCGGUCAGAGGGGCCAGGCAGCUCCAGAUCGUACUCUGAAGAAACUCCAUACUGAACCCUUAUCAGAAGGAGUUCCUCCGGAGUCAGAGAACAUGGAAUGGCGCCCGGUGCAAAAAUCGAGCGGG
rnacentral:lncRNA from 1 species